AUUGAACGCUGGCGGCAUGCCUUACACAUGCAAGUCGAGCGGCAGCGGGCCCUUCGGGGUGCCGGCGAGUGGCGAACGGGUGAGUAAUGCAUCGGAACGUACCCGGGAGAGGGGGAUAACCGGCCGAAAGGCUGGCUAAUACCGCAUGAACUCGGAAGAGCAAAGCGGGGGACCUUCGGGCCUCGCGCUCUCGGAGCGGCCGAUGUCCGAUUAGGCUAGUUGGUGGGGUAAAGGCCCACCAAGGCGACGAUCGGUAGCGGGUCUGAGAGGACGAUCCGCCACACUGGGACUGAGACACGGCCCAGACUCCUACGGGAGGCAGCAGUGGGGAAUCUUGGACAAUGGGCGCAAGCCUGAUCCAGCAAUGCCGCGUGGGUGAAGAAGGCCUUCGGGUUGUAAAGCCCUUUCGGCGGGGAAGAAAUCGGUCAGGCGAAUAGUCUGGCCGGAUGACGGUACCCGCAGAAGAAGCACCGGCUAACUACGUG
rnacentral:rRNA from 1 species